GACGAACGCUGGCGGCGUGCUUAACACAUGCAAGUCGAACGGAAAGGCCCUGCUUUUGUGGGGUGCACGAGUGGCGAACGGGUGAGUAACACGUGAGUAACCUGCCCUGGACUGGGGGAUAACUUCAGGAAACUGGGGCUAAUACCGGAUAGGAGCUGCUGCUGCAUGGCGGGGGUUGGAAAGUUGCGGCGGUUGGGGAUGGAGUCGAGGCUUAGCAGCUUGUUGGUGGGGUAGUGGCAUAGGAAGGCUUUGACGGGUAGCCGGCCUGGGAGGGUGACCGGCCCCAUUGGGCCUGGGGUACGGCCCAGACGCCUACGGGAGGCAGCAGUGGAGAAUAUUGCACGAUGGGCCGAAGCCUGAUGCAGCAACGCCGCGUGCGGGAUGUCGGCCUUCGGGUUGUAAACCGCUUUCGCCUGUGACGAAGCGUGAGUGACGGUAAUGGGUAAAGAAGCACCGGCUAACUACGUG
rnacentral:rRNA from 1 species